GGAUGAGAGUGUGACAUGGUUGCUAACCUAUGCCACCUCAGGAACUGUCAGUGUUGAUUCUGCUGAAGCUGAUCUGGCUGGCUAGCCAGGUGCCACUUCAUCCCUAAGAUCCCCAUUUUCAUUCCUUUGGUCCUUCUUGAAGCUCCUUGGCAGAAGAGGAUGAUUUCCCAAAACCGAGAAAGACCAGUCUUAGGUCAAGAGUAUACAAGUAGCUGAGCUCCCCUGUUAAGAGUCUCAAAAGCUGUAACAAGUUUUUCCCUAAUAGAGUAAAAAAAAAUAAGAAACCCAAGAGAUGUGAAACAAAAGUAGAUAAAAGACAAAUUUAUCAAGUUU
ensembl:misc_RNA 7SK 7SK RNA